rnacentral:rRNA from 1 species
CGUAGGGUGCGAGCGUUAAUCGGAAUUACUGGGCGUAAAGCGUGCGCAGGCGGUUUGGUAAGACAGGCGUGAAAUCCCCGGGCUUAACCUGGGAACUGCGUUUGUGACUGCCAGGCUAGAGCACGGCAGAGGGGGUGGAAUUCCACGUGUAGCAGUGAAAUGCGUAGAGGUGUGGAGGAACACCAAUGGCGAAGGCAGCCCCCUGAGUCGAUACUGACGCUCAUGCACGAAAGCGUGGGUAGCAAACAGGAUUAGAUACCCUGGUAGUCCACGCCCUAAACGAUGUCAACUAGGUGUUGGGAGGGUAAAACCUUUUAGUACCGUAGCUAACGCGAGAAGUUGACCGCCUGGGGAGUACGGCCGCAAGGUUA